UACGUAGGGGGCAAGCGUUGUCCGGAAUCAUUGGGCGUAAAGCGCGUGUAGGCGGCUCGAUAAGUCUGCUGUGAAAGUCCAAGGCUCAACCUUGGGAUGCCGGUGGAUACUGUCGGGCUCGAGUCCGGAAGAGGAGUGUGGAAUUCCUGGUGUAGCGGUGAAAUGCGCAGAUAUCAGGAGGAACACCAAUGGCGAAGGCAGCACUCUGGGACGUGACUGACGCUGAGACGCGAAAGCGUGGGGAGCAAACAGG
rnacentral:rRNA from 1 species